GACGAACGCUGGCGGCGUGCUUAACACAUGCAAGUCGAACGGAAAGGCCCUGCUUUUGUGGGGUACUCGAGUGGCGAACGGGUGAGUAACACGUGAGUAACCUGCCCUUGACUUUGGGAUAACUUCAGGAAACUGGGGCUAAUACCGGAUAGGAGCUCCUGCUGCAUGGUGGGGGUUGGAAAGUUUCGGCGGUUGGGGAUGGACUCGCGGCUUAUCAGCUUGUUGGUGGGGUAGUGGCUUACCAAGGCUUUGACGGGUAGCCGGCCUGAGAGGGUGACCGGCCACAUUGGGACUGAGAUACGGCCCAGACUCCUACGGGAGGCAGCAGUGGGGAAUAUUGCACGAUGGGCGGAAGCCUGAUGCAGCAACGCCGCGUGCGGGAUGACGGCCUUCGGGUUGUAAACCGCUUUCGCCUGUGACGAAGCGUGAGUGACGGUAAUGGGUAAAGAAGCACCGGCUAACUACGUG
rnacentral:rRNA from 1 species